rnacentral:misc_RNA from 1 species
GAAAUUUGCUCAAAACGUAGAUAGUUAUUGCUUCAAAUCCGUAAACCCUCAUUCAUUCUGCGCCUAGUUGCUUUUUCGGCACCUUUCUCUCAUUCGUCGUGUGUUAUUUUCCUUUUCUCUUAUGAUCUCAAAGCAGGGCCUAUGUGGAUGUGAAAGUUGAUAAGUGGAGAAUUCUGGCAUUCUGUGGAGGCUUAGAAUUUUAACUUGGCAGCUUUAUAUAUUGAAGACAGUAUCAUGCUUUGAAAUAGCUUCUUGAUUUCUUGCACUUGAAGCAAUUUGGAGCCAGUUUCUUUGGGGAUUUGUUUAGUUAUGGAUUGCAAUAAAGAAGAGGCAAUCAGAGCCAAAGGGAUUGCUGAAAUUAAGAUGCAAAGCAAGGAUUUUGAUGCUGCCCGUAAAAUUGCACUCAAAGCCCAACAGCUUUACAAAGAUUUGGAUAAUAUUUUCCAUAUGCUAAUGGUUUGUGAUGUGCAUUGCGCUGCUGAUAAGAAGUUGUUUGGGAAUGAGAUGGACUGGUAUGGCAUCCUUCAGAUUGAGCAGACAGCUGAUGAGGCAACAAUCAAGAAGCAAUACAAGAAGUUUGCUCUCUUACUUCAUCCUGACAAAAAUAAGUUCCCUGGUGCAGAGGCUGCUUUCAAGUUGAUUGGUGAAGCCCAAAGGGUGCUUUUAGACAAAGGAAAAAGGUCCUUGUAUGACAUUAAACGAAAAGCUUCCGUAAGUAAACCGGCACCAACAUACAGGCCCCAGCAGAGGACAACCUACAGCGCAAAUAUUGCAACGCAAAACAAUUAUAGAAGCAACUUUAUGGGCUUCAAUUCCCAAGAGCAGCAGAUGCAGCAGCCAGCAGCUCAACAGGGGUCAUCCAAUGGCCGCAAAACUUUCUGGACAGCUUGUCCAUUUUGUAAUAUGAAGUACCAGUAUUAUGUGGAAGUUAUGAACAAGUCUCUUAUUUGUCAACAUUGUACUAAGCCCUUUAUUGCAUAUGAGAGGAGUGUGCUUGGAGCUCCUACAGCAACUAACUUGAAUCAGUCUGCAUUUACUGAAAAGAAAGAUAUGCCAAAUCAAAAGAAAGAUACGCCAAAUCAGGCUUUUAGCAAAGUGGAACUUACUCAUCAGGGCAAUUCAAGCUCUGGGCAAUCUAGAACAGAGUUCUUUCAGAAGAAAGGUUUCAGUUCUGAGUUAGGUUCACAAAAGGUAAAUGGCAAGAGACAGAGGAAAAAAGGUUCUGAAUCAAGUGAAAGUUUUGACAAUGAUAGUAGCAUUGAUACUGAAGAAGAUGCGGUAGUUGAUGAAGAUGGUGAUUUUAAGACAGCAGUGAAUUCGGGGUGUCAUGGAGAGCACCUGAGGAGAUCUGAUCGACAUAAGCGGAAGGUUUCUUAUAAGGAAAAUUUGAGUGAAGAUGAAGAUUUUGUGACCCCAUCAAAGAAGCCCAAGGGAAGUGAAUCAUCCUGUGCCAGUGAAGAAGGGUGCAGAAAUGGAUUGAAGGACAAUUUUUUUAAAACGAAUAAGCAUUCUGGUGAAUCUGGUCUAACUUCUGGUGUGAAAGAUCAGAAUGAGAAACAGAAAGAAGGUCCAGAGAGCUUUCCAAAUGAAACUAAGGAAACCAAGAAUGUAAAGGGAAAAGAAAAGGCAGAAGAAAGUGGCUGUAAGAAGAGUUCUGAGGCUCAUGUUGACUUUGCAUCACAUUCAAGCACCGAAUACACAACAGACCCAGAGCUGUAUGAGUAUCCUGAUCCAGAUUUCAAUGAUUUUAAUGAAGUUCGGAAUGAAAAGUGUUUUUCGAUAGGGCAGAUCUGGGCUGUUUAUGAUACCUUGGAUGCCAUGCCUAGGUUUUAUGUUCGAAUUAGGAAAGUUUUGUCUCCUGGGUUCAAACUGCGGAUAAGCUGGUUGGAGCCAGACCCAGGUGAUGAGGAUGAAAUUCGAUGGGUCAGUGAGGACUUGCCAGCUGCUUGUGGUAAGUUUAGAGGUGGAGGCUCCGAAAUUACUGAAGAUCGACUUAUGUUUUCCCAUAUGAUUAACUGGGAACAAUGCCGCCAAAGGGACACUUACAAGAUAUUUCCAAGAAAAGGGGAAAUUUGGGCUGUCUUCAAGAACUGGGAUAUUAAAUGGAAAUUUAAUGCAGACCCUAGCCAGAAGUUUGAAUAUGAAUUUGUUGAAAUAUUGUCAGAGUAUACGGAGGAUGGCGGUGCAUGCGUUGCGUAUUUAGGCAAGUUGAAGGCCUUUACGAGUCUUUUCUGUCGUACUAGUAAAGAAGGGAAUGACACAUUUCAAAUUCCACCAGGUGAACUAUUCCGCUUUUCCCACAUGAUUCCAUCAUUUAAAUUGACGGGUGAGGAAGGACAAGGUGUGCCAAAGGGAUCUUUUGAACUUGAUCCAGCUUCUUUGCCUAAAAAUAUUGAAGAGAUUGUCGUCCCUGAAUAUAUGGUAGUUGACGCUGGUAAUAGUCAUCCCAGGGAUCCGUGUUCAAAAUCUUCACAUAAAGUGAAACCUGGAGUGGAGUCUGAAGCAAGCACUAAGCAGGGGGCUGGUCUGAAGGGUGCUUAUCUAGAACCUGAACUUGCCAAUGUCUGUGAUACUCCUCCAGCUUCAACCCCAGAAUGUAUGGAAGUUCCAGAAGCAGAAUUCUUCAACUUUGAAGCUGAGAAAUCCAUUGAAAAGUUUCAGGUUGGUCAGAUCUGGUCAUUGUACAGUGAUGAGGAUUGCUUGCCAAAGUACUAUGGUCAGAUCACAAAAGUUGCUUCUGACCAAGGUUUCAGAUUGUGGCUUAGGUGGCUUGAACCUUGUGCAUUGCGAAAUGAUGUGAUCCAAUGGCAUGAUAAGGAUAUGAUCAUUUGUUGUGGAAGAUUUAGGACUAACAUGCGUAAAUCACAAUCUUAUACAUCUGCUGAAUCCUUCUCUCACAAAGUAAGUGCAGAACCUGCCGGCAAGAAAAAUGAAUAUACCAUUUUGCCUAGAAAAGGUCAGAUUUGGGCAUUGUAUAAGAACUGGUCUGCUGAAAUUGAAGCUUGUGACUUGAGAAAAUGUGAAUAUGAGAUAGUGGAAGUCCUCGAGGAAAAAGACUUGGGGAUCAGAGUUUCAUUUUUAGAGCAAGUUGAUGGUUUUAACUCGAUUUUCAAGGCUCAGUUAAAGGAAGCAUCAUCUGUUACAAUGGAGGUUCUCCAUGGUGAGCUGCUUAAAUUCUCCCAUCAGAUUCCUGCCUUUCGACUAACAGAAGAGAGGGGUGGCAGCCUAAGAGGCUUCUGGGAACUUGACCCUUCAGCGCUGCCUGGUCAUUAUUUUGCUAGGAAGUAACAUGACAAGCUUAUAUUCUAAUGCUAUCUAUUUGCUGUUGGACUUUAUAGUAUCACCAGCAUGGUCAUGUUUUGUGAAUGCUGUUUUAGAAAUAGAUUUUGCCUAGAUACAUACUGUGUUCUGGAGUUGCCUCUGAACAUUUCUUUUGGUGUCUGGAGAGAUCUGUACUGGCUCAAACUCUUUUGAUCCCUUCAAUUUUGGCAUGAAGCUUUGGUUGGUUAAGCCACAAAUCAGUGAUGGGAAUGGCAAAUUAGCCAAAGCAUGGAAGUUAGAUUUCUUCACUUUGUUGCUGCGGUAGCAGUCCUAUUUCACUUCACAUUUUCCUGUAAACUCUCACAUUCCAAGUUAUCAUAUUAGCUUUUCUUUAGUUGGAUGUAGAGAUGAAAUGCUAGCAGCUCAUUUACUAUUGUUUCAUUUAAAAAAUAAUUCUAUUUUGGAAGAAUUUUGGUGGGCGAAGUUUAGCUCUAUCAUUUGCAAAAUUGCAAAUGCAUUGGAAAUUAGCUCUUAUGAAGUUCCAUGUAUUCUCUUGUAAUUCUUCUUUUGCUUAGUAAAUCUUCAAAGAGCAAUGUCCUAGUUAGUCUGAGGGCAAAAGCUUAAACUAAUUUAGGACAUGGUUGCAUAAAUUCUCCUUCGAAGGGAGAGAUCCUGGUAUGUAUGUGAAGUGAAGAAACUGUAGUCUCUGAUCCAACGGUUGAUAUCUACAUAUUCU